UCCGGUUUAUCACCGGCGGUCCCGUCUAGAGUGCUGCCUGUUACAGCGAGCAACUAGAGGCAAGGGUUGCGCUCGUUGCGGGACUUAACCCAACAUCUCACGACACGAGCUGACGACAGCCAUGCAGCACCUCUGUAAUUGUCUAUUGCUAGCCAUCUCCAUCUCUGGAAAUUUCAAUCACAGUUCAAACCCAGGUAAGGUUCUUCGCGUUGCAUCGAAUUGAACCACAUGCUCCACCGCUUGUGCGGGCCCCCGUCAAUUCCUUUGAGUUUCAGACUUGCGACCGUACUCCCCAGGCGGUGCACUUAUCGCGUUAACUUCGGCACAAACCGAAAACCGGCUUACACCAAGUCCGCAUCGUUUAGGGCGUGGACUAC
rnacentral:misc_RNA from 1 species